rnacentral:rRNA from 1 species
UACGGGGGGAGCAAGCGUUGUUCGGAUUUACUGGGCGUAAAGGGCGCGUAGGCGGCCAGCACAAGUCAGUUGUGAAAUCUCCGAGCUUAACUCGGAAAGGUCAACUGAUACUGUGCGGCUAGAGUGCAGAAGGGGCAACUGGAAUUCUCGGUGUAGCGGCGAAAUGCGUAGAUAUCGAGAGGAACACCUGCGGCGAAGGCGGGUUGCUGGGCUGACACUGACGCUGAGGCGCGAAAGCUAGGGGAGCGAACGGG